UCCGGUUUAACACCGGCAGUUUGUCUCGAGUUCCCGACAUUACUCGCUGGUAACAAAACAUGAGGGUUGCGCUCGUUGCGGGACUUAACCCAACAUUUCACAACACGAGCUGACGACAGCCAUGCACCACCUGUGCUACACCCUCGAAGGCGACUGCUUUUCGGCAGCUUGCAGUAGCAUGUCAAGCCCUGGUAAGGUUCUUCGCGUUGCAUCGAAUUAAGCCGCAUGCUCCACCGCUUGUGCGGGCCCCCGCCAAUUCCUUUGAGUUUCAACCUUGCGGCCGUAGUCCCCAGGCGGUUCACUUAAUGCGUUAGCUGCGGCACCGAGGGUUACCCCCCAACACCUAGUGAACAUAGUUUAGGGCCAAGACUAC
rnacentral:misc_RNA from 1 species